rnacentral:rRNA from 1 species
CAGUAGCCACGGUAAUACGCAGGGUGCGAGCGUUAAUCGGAAUUACUGGGCGUAAAGCGUGCGCAGGCGGUUGUGUAAGACAGGUGUGAAAUCCCCGGGCUUAACCUGGGAACUGCGCUUGUGACUGCACAGCUAGAGUAUGGCAGAGGGGGGUGGAAUUCCACGUGUAGCAGUGAAAUGCGUAGAGAUGUGGAGGAACACCGAUGGCGAAGGCAGCCCCCUGGGCCAAUACUGACGCUCAUGCACGAAAGCGUGGGGAGCAAACAGGAUUAGAUACCCCGGUAGUCCCUGUCUCUUAUAC